rnacentral:rRNA from 1 species
GGGAGCCCUAGCACAGGUGCUGCAUGGCCGUCGUCAGCUCGUGCCGUGAGGUGUGGGUUAAGUCCCGCAACGAGCGCAACCCCGCCGUUAGUUGCCAGCGGUUCGGCCGGGCACUCUAACGGGACUGCCCGCGAAAGCGGGAGGAAGAGGGACGACGUCUGGUCAGCAUGGCCCUUACGGCCUGGGCGACACACGUGCUACAAUGCCCACUACAAAGCGAUGCCACCCGGCAACGGGGAGCUAAUCGCAAAAAAGGUGGGCCCAGUUCGGAUUGGGGUCUGCAACCCGACCCCAUGAAGCCGGAAUCGCUAGUAAUCGCGGAUCAGCCAUGCCGCGGUGAAUACGUUCCCGGGCCUU